rnacentral:rRNA from 1 species
CGGGCGAUGUGUGCAUAUUUUAGAGCUAAAAUCAAUUAUUUUAUCUUUAUUAAUUUACUAUCAAAUCCACUUUUAAUAAAAUAUUUAAAUUUUAUAUCCAUUUAAAUUAAUUUAUUGUAACCCAUAAAAACUUAAAUAUAAACUACACCUUUAUCUGAUAUAAAUUUUAAUAAAAAUUAAAGAAAAUUUAUUAAUUUUUUAAAAAUAUUCUUAUAACGACGAUAUAUAAGCUGAAAAACAAAUUUAAGAAAGGUGCAACGUGGAUUAUCGAUUAAUUUACAGGUUCCUCUGAAUAGACUAAAAUACCGCCAAAUUUUUUAAGUUUCAAGAUCAUAACUAAUACUACUCAAACAUAUAAAUUACAUUAUUAAAUAAUAGGGUAUCUAAUCC